rnacentral:rRNA from 1 species
CCUACGGGAGGCAGCAGUGGGGAAUAUUGGGCAAUGGGCGCAAGCCUGACCCAGCAACGCCGCGUGAGGGAAGAAGGCUUUCGGGUUGUAAACUUCUUUUCUCAGGGACGAAGCAAGUGACGGUACCUGAGGAAUAAGCCCCGGCUAACUACGUGCCAGCAGCCGCGAUAAUACGUAGGUGGCAAGCGUUAUCCGGAUUUACUGGGUGUAAAGGGCGUGUAGGCGGGAAUGCAAGUCAGAUGUGAAAACCAUGGGCUCAACCUGUGGCCUGCAUUUGAAACUGUGUAUCUUGAGUGCUGGAGAGGCAGACGGAAUUCCUAGUGUAGCGGUGAAAUGCGUAGAUAUUAGGAGGAACACCAGUGGCGAAGGCGGUCUGCUGGACAGCAACUGACGCUGAGGCGCGAAAGCGUGGGGAGCAAACAGGAUUAGAUACCCUUGUAGUC